CUAAGUUUGAUGGCGACCGGCGCACGGGUGAGUAACACGUAUCCAACCUGCCGAUGACUCGGGGAUAGCCUUUCGAAAGAAAGAUUAAUACCCGAUGGCAUAGUUCUUCCGCAUGGUAGAACUAUUAAAGAAUUUCGGUCAUCGAUGGGGAUGCGUUCCAUUAGGUUGUUGGCGGGGGUAACGGCCCACCAAGCCUUCGAUGGAUAGGGGUUCUGAGAGGAAGGUCCCCCACAUUGGAACUGAGACACGGUCCAAACUCCUACGGGAGGCAGCAUG
rnacentral:rRNA from 1 species